rnacentral:rRNA from 1 species
UACAGAGGGGGCAAGCGUUGUUCGGAAUUACUGGGCGUAAAGGGCGCGUAGGCGGCCUUCUAAGUCGAACGUGAAAUCCCUGGGCUCAACCCAGGAACUGCGUCCGAUACUGGAAGGCUUGAAUCCGGGAGAGGGAUGCGGAAUUCCAGGUGUAGCGGUGAAAUGCGUAGAUAUCUGAAGGAACGCCGGUGGCGAAAGCGAUCGACUGGACCUCUUCUGACGCUGAGGCGCGAAAGCCAGGGGAGCAAACGGG